UAAUAAGUGUUUUAUGGCACUUUUUAAAACCAUAUCCACCUUGUGUGCAAUGUCAGUCGAUCUUCUUCAUGGAGAUCGACCAAACAUCAACCUUUAUUUUUUAACUCUUUGUCUGAAAAAUAUUAUGAAUAAACAAUUCAAAAUA
rnacentral:misc_RNA from 1 species